rnacentral:rRNA from 1 species
CAGUCGCCGCGGGAAUACGAAGGGGGCUAGCGUUGCUCGGAAUGACUGGGCGUAAAGGGCGCGUAGGCGGCGGCCAAAGUCAGGCGUGAAAUUCCCGGGCUCAACCUGGGGGCUGCGUUUGAUACUUGGUUGCUUGAGUGGGGAAGAGGGUCGUGGAAUUCCCAGUGUAGAGGUGAAAUUCGUAGAUAUUGGGAAGAACACCGGUGGCGAAGGCGGCGACCUGGUCCUUUACUGACGCUGAGGCGCGAAAGCGUGGGGAGCAAACAGGAUUAGAGACCCCUGUAGUCCCUGUCUCUUAUAC